rnacentral:rRNA from 1 species
UGGGGAAUCUUCCGCAAUGGACGAAAGUCUGACGGAGCAACGCCGCGUGAGUGAUGACGGCCUUCGGGUUGUAAAGCUCUGUUAAUCGGGACGAAUGGUUCUUGUGCGAAUAGUGCAAGGAUUUGACGGUACCGGAAUAGAAAGCCACGGCUAACUACGUGCCAGCAGCCGCGGUAAUACGUAGGUGGCAAGCGUUGUCCGGAAUUAUUGGGCGUAAAGCGCGCGCAGGCGGAUUGGUCAGUCUGUCUUAAAAGUUCGGGGCUUAACCCCGUGAUGGGAUGGAAGCUGCCAAUCUAGAGUAUCGGGGAGGAAAGUGGAAUUCCUAGUGUAGCGGUGAAAUGCGUAGAUAUUAGGAAGAACACCAGUGGCGAAGGCGAGUUUUUGGACGAAAACUGACGCUGAGGCGCGAAAGCCAGGGGAGCGAGCGGG